AUAGUAGAAAAAAUGCAGUAGCUAAUAAUUAAUAUAAUUAAUAAUUUGGGAACAAAAAGAAUAGGGAAAAAUUUUUUGACCCCUUUCAGUAUUUGCUAGAUUGAAAUUUGUGACAAUGCCAUUUUAAGAAAGUACAGCCAGGCAUGGUGGUGCAUGCCUAUAAUCCCAGCACUUGGGAAGCUGAGGCAGGAGGAUCUCCAUGCAUUCGAGGCCAGCCUAACUUACAUAGUGAGACCCUGUCUCAAAAAAACAAAACUAAAAAAAGUGCAAUGUAGGAGGGCCGGGGAUUUAGCUCAGUUGUUUUGCCACCUGCUGCACAAGCGCAAGGCCUUGAGUUGGAUCCCCAGUACCAAAAGAAAAAAGUACAAUGUAGGAAUUGGGGAUGUGACUCUGUGCCAGGAGAAUGUUCCUACUUUGCCCAGUGUCCUAGGUUCCAUCCCAGCACUGAGGAAAAAAAGAGGUACAAUGUAUAAAUAAUAAUCUAUAUUUGUAAACUGAUUAUUUUAUAGAACAAAUUAAUUUAGUGUAAGCAGUUUUCAUUGUAAUUUUAAAAUAUACAUGCCUGAAAAGUUGAAUUUUUAAUAAGGAUUUAUAGAAAACAACAGAACAUUAUGUUUCAGAGUUGCUCAUUUGGUCUGCAUUUUCCCAAAAGGUACAGCCAGGUGUAGUAGUGCAUACUUAAAAUCCCAGCACUCGCGAGGCUGAGGCAGGGGAAUUGCUGCAAAUUCGACGCCAGCCUGAAUUACAUGCUGACUUCAAGUCCAGCUGAACUACAUAACAAGACCCUGUAUCAAAAAACAAAAAUAAAUAAAUAAAUGUAAUUAGUUGUUGAUCGCUUAUGCAAAAAAAUAAAGUCUUGGUGUCAUAUGGAUAUAAAUAGUUUUGAAUAAAGUCUGGUUGUUUCUUGUGGAGGUACAAUAGUGAAGAUAAACUGAUAUAACUGCAGUAAUGAGGUGGCCUGAUAGUAUAGUAGUUUAAAAAUAGUUACACUUAAGUCCAGCACAUAAAACAGACACAUUAUCUGCUCUUCGGGUUGAACUAGGUAUAGUGGGCCUGCAGCAGUUCUUGCUUGGUAUACUUAUUCUCUCCUAUCCGAGAAUAUCCAGUUUGAA
rnacentral:lncRNA from 1 species